UGAGAUGCCAGGUGUCACUGGGGGACUGCGUCACAUCUUAAAAAGGGAGAUGUCCUGGCAGGGAGGAGGAGGGCUUGGCUUUAGACAGACACUGCAGAGCACCUCCACUGCUUGGCAUUUACCAGAAGCUGCGUCCGGGCGUGGCUGCGGUCUAGCAGUCUGAGGUCCUGCGCCAUCAAGUUAAGCAGUAUUUCACCGCAAACUGCCCGCGCACAACUCAAGCCCUGAGCCCCUCAAACCCCACUGUGCAGUCACUGGGGGAUCUGCUACCCUCAUACCCACGGGGACACGACGAAGCCCCGAGAGGCUGCUCCACUUGAUAUCCAGG
rnacentral:lncRNA from 1 species